rnacentral:lncRNA from 1 species
UCACUGUGUGGGUCUCUAUGGGUCUCUAUGGGUCUCUAUGGGUCUCUAUGGGUUGCUAUGGGUCACUAUGGGUCAAUGUGGGGGUCUCUAUUGGUCGCUAUGGGUCACGGUGUGGGUCUCUGUGGGUCUCUAUGGGUCUCUAUGUGUCACUGUGGGUCAAUAUGUGGGUCUCUAUGGGUCAUGGUGUGGGUCUCUGUGGGUCGCUAUGGGUUGCUAUGGGUCUCCAUGGAUCACUAUGGGUCCCUAUGGGUCUCUAUGGGUCAAUGUGUGGGUCUCUGUGGGUCUCUGUGGGUCUCUGUGGGUCGCUGUGGGUCAAUGUGUGGGUCUCUAUGGGUCUCUAUGGGUGUCUAUGGGAUCUAUGGGUCCCUAUGGGUCUCUAUGGGAUCUGUGGGGUCUCCAUGGGUCUCUCUAUGGGGCUCUAUGGGGCUCUAUGGAAUCUAUGGGUCUCUAUGGGUUGCUAUGGGUCCCUAUGCAUCCCUGUGCAUACCUAUGGGUCUCUGUGGGUCUCUAUGGGUCUCUAUGGGUCAAUGUGUGGGUCUCUGUGGGUCACUAUGGGUCACGGUGUGGGUCUCUAUGGAUCGCUAUGGGUCUCUAUGGGUCACUAUGGGUCUUUAUGGGUUGCUAUGGGUCUCUGUGGGUCACUAUGGGUCUCUAAGGGUUGCUAUGGGUCGCUGUGGGUCAAUGCGUCGGUCUCUAUGGGUCUCUGUGGGUCCCUAUGGGUCUCUAUGGGUCUCUGUAGUUUGCUAUGGGUCUCUAUGGGUCGCUGUGGGUCACGCUGAUGGGUCACGCUGUAGGUUUCUAUGGGUCGCUAUGGGUCUCAAUGGUUCACUAUGGGUUGCUAUGGGUCUCUGUGGGUCUCUAUGGAUCCCUAUGGGUCGCAGUGGGUCUCUAUGGGUCUCUAUGGGUCCCUAUGGGUCCCUAUGGGUUGCAAUGGGUCCCUAUGGGUCGCAAUGGGUCCCUAUGGGUCGCAAUGGGUCCCUAUGGUUCUCUAUGGGUCUCUAUGGGUCUCUGUGGGUCUCUAUGGGUCGCUAUGGGUCACUACGGGUCUCUAUGGGUCUCUAUGGGUCGCUAUGGGUCCCUAUGGGUCCCUAUGGGUCUCUAUGGGUCUCUAUGGGUCUCUAUGGGUCUCUAUGGGCCGCUAUGUGCCCCUAUGGGUCACUAUGGAUCUCUAUGGGUCCCUAUGGGUCGUAAUGGGUCCCUAUGGGUCUCUAUGGGUCUCUAUGGGUCCCUAUGGGUCGCAAUGGGUCCCUAUGGGUCCCUAUGGGUUACUACGGGUCUCUAUGGGUCUCUAUGGGUCGCUAUGGGUCGCUGUGGGUCCCGCUGUGGGUCACGCCGUGGGUCUGCCCCCCAGGCCGCUGUGCCUGCCCUGCACCGAGGGCUCCUCCCGCGCCCUGCGCCUGCCGC